GCUUCAAUAUGAAGCUAAGACGGUAUUGAUUUUAAUCUGAUAUGUCUUUUUUUUAAUUAAAAUUAAAAAAAUUGUAGGUUUUGAAUAAUAAAUAAUACAAAAAAUGUCGAACUAAAAAUGUAUAGAAAAUUAAAUUUUUAACAACGGUUAAAUAAAUUUUUUUUUGUUUUUACAAUAAAAAAUCAAUAAUUUUAACGUAUGUGUUAGUGCCAAUGGAAGUUGUAACACCCGAGUUUUUUAUACAGUGCUGUAAUGUGCAUUGACUCUGACUUAGUCUAAUCCACAGGACGUGACUGAACCAAAAAUAAACCGCAAUCGCGCGUUUCAACCUACUAAUUGUUUAUUCUACAACAGAUGUACAGAUAAUAAUUUUCUUAUAAAUAAUAAAACAAAUUUACGUUACAAUUUUUUUUUUUUUAAAUUCAAUUUUCAGUUAUUUUAUUAUGUAUAAAUACAAAAAUAAUAAACUUAUUAUAUUAUAUAAAUAAAUUCAUUUAAUGAGUUUUA